UUUUAAGCAAAGAAGAUUGGAAAAAACCAAUUUUUGAGACCAAAAUAUUGGAAAAAAAUUUUGAAAAACCAAAUUGGAAAAAACCAAAAUAUUAAAGAGUUAAACUGCCAAACCGUGGUUUUCUGAGACCGUUGCUAGCGGUCCGAUCCAGAAUGUUGCCAAACUUUGGUAGUGAGCAUCAGACCCGUCACACGACACAUAACUAUAGCACGAUCAAACGGUGAUUACAAUGUCAUAAAUAAAGCUGCCAAGUAUCGGAAAGCAACUGAUCUUGGCUGUUUUUACAAAAAAAAAAA
rnacentral:lncRNA from 1 species